rnacentral:rRNA from 1 species
GACGAACGCUGGCGGCGUGCUUAACACAUGCAAGUCGAACGGGCCUGUCUUCUUUUUUGGGGGUGGGUUGAGUGGCGAACGGGUGAGUAUCACGGGAGUAACCUGCCCUUCGGUCCUGGAUAACCGCUUGAAAGGGCGGCUAAUACGGGGUGGUCCGGUUGGUCCGCAUGGGCUGGUCGGGAUAGAUUCACUGUUUUUGGUGUUUCGGCGGGGGAUGGGCUCGCGGCCUAUCAGCUUGUGGGUGGGGUGAUGGCCGACCAAGGCGGUGACGGGUAGCCGGCCUGAGGGGGUGGGCGGCCACACUGGGACCGCGGUACGGCCCAGACUCCUGCGGGAGGCAGCAGUGGGGGGUAGUGCACGAUGGGCGGAAGCCUGAUGCAGCGACGUCGCGUGAGGGAUGGCUGCCUUCGGGUUGUGAACCUCUGUUUCCGGUGGUGAAGGCCCUGUCCGUGUGGUGGGGUUGACGGUAGCCGGGGAUGAAGCGCCGGCUAACUACGUG